ACAGGUCGCAUCGCCUCAAGCAACCGGCAAGUGUCUUCGCAGAGACAAAGGCUUACCAGUUGAUAUCUACCUGCAGUUAGGUACACGUCAACCUCCUAGUCGGGAAUCCGGUCGCCAGCUCAAGAUGGUCUCCCUCUGCCCGAAAGCGAGGCAAACAGGGCGUCGAUCAACAAGAAGAGGAAAGAGGAAGACCAGACUUCGAGGCAGCACAACUGACCAACUUACAAUGGUGUCUCUCAUAUCUGGUUUCUAACCAGUGGACCGGUCAAAGGAAGAAAGGGCUGCCCUACCCCACCCAGCUUUAGUUAAAGAAUACCAGUCCGUUGCCUGUUGAACCAGCCUGCUGAAAGACGUUUCCUCGUCCCCUCCCCCUCACGCUCUGUGUGGCUUUUGUGACUGUAGGUGAGCUGUGAUUGGCCCAGCCUGUCUUACUUGCGUGGCACAUCCUGCAACUGACACAUGAGCUCACCUGAAGGUUCAUGAUAAAAAUAGACUUUAACGACACUGCGGACUCCUCCUCUUCUCAUUCCCCCAUCUCAUGCCCAUGCUCAUAUAUUUUUCUGAAUACUGUGGAUAGUGUAGAGUGAACGUUCAUGUUAUACUUAUUCGUGUAUAUUCAAAAAAAUUUCAUUUAAAUACACCACUCAUUUUUAUUCAGACAAACAGAGCAGAGACAACAUAUUCAAACAUUAUCUCAUAAUAAUCUUGAUACAUUUUCACUUUUUAAGUAGGUUUUUAGGCUGUUUAUGUAAAAGGGAGCACUACGAACAAAUGUGCUCAAGCUCUGGCAAAGUUCUCAAAGAUGACGUAACUGGAAAGAUUAGAACUCCUUUGUAGCUCAUAUUUUAUGGUUUUCGCUGCUGAAAAUGCUUGUUUUUUUUCUCGUUACUGAAAAAACAGUGAAAUGUACACAUAUAAGCAAAUGUCAAACACAAUCUUUACAACCCAGUGUUUGUUUAAGGUGGAAGAAUUGACUCAUAAAUAUUGAACCGCACCCUUGUUUGCCCGUCUGGGGUACUUUUCCUUUAUCUGUGUCACAGAUGUAUGAAAUUGACUCAUGUUUGUUAUUCAUGUCCCUUUCGUAUUUUUACUAGCCAGCUUUACAAAGUCACAUCAUUUACCUUCAUAAAGCAGGCAGUAUUCAGCGCUUUCAUCUCCUCUUUUGUUCCCCUCUUUUUUCCCCCUCUCUCAGGCCUCAGUGUAAAUGAACUGUGGGUUUCAAAGUCAAUGUCACAAGGCUUUAUCAUGUUUCAGUCACAGUCUGUACAACAUUUCACUGCAUUUCUUUUUCCCCUAGAGCUUCAAAUGUUGCCUAGAACUUAUAUGUGCAUGUUGGAUGUCAAAGAAGCAACAAGGCCUGGUGAUUGGCGUCUUACCAGACACGGUUAGAUCUAACUAUAUGUGUCUAAUACUGUCUGGUAAUGCCGUCCAUUACAUGGUAUUUAACGUCGGUCAGUGUCCAACAUGUCUAUUACUGUUGGCAACAGGGAAUAUAUCCUCAAAGUCAUUUUCAUGCCUGCAAAUCAUGUAAAAUAUGCCACCAGUGUUUAUUUCAUAUGAUGAUUGACUUACAGUAAGUCCUUAAUCAUAGUGGUCCUUUAGCCGGCAGUCUAAAUAAAAUAGUAUGUUUCUGGCUUAGGUCUGUAUGAGGAACUAUGAACCCCACACUGGAAGACCGGUGUCAUAUGCAAUGCUCUUCCAUGUGUCAUGAGUCAGAGUUUCUCUCCUCCACAUCGAGAGAUCUGUGAGUCACAUCUGUCAUUCAUCCCACCCUUUCACACUCCUCCAACCUGUGUGAUGUAGACAAAAGUUUUGAAUGGUGUAUGUACACAUAACUUUCGUAAUUAAAGGUUUCAGAGCUUCUUCAAACUGUAAAAACAAUUCUUAACUCCCUCAUAUCUCAUUUUCAAAAAUAGCUUUUCAAAGAACUUCCACUGAAAGGUCCUCUGGUGAACUCCAAAAAUGCUUGUUUUCUAGCAAAGUGUAACAAAGUGUAAUGUUUACACUUGGGCCAAAAAAACAUACAAAACAAAUAAAAGAAGGCAGGUAGUUUUUGAAUCAAGAAUAUUAUACUACUUUACUAAAUUACUAUUUUACUAAAAUACAGUGCAGUGCAUUCUCUUCUCGGGUGAGACAGUGGGUUUGGGGUAACCCCCCAGGCCAACUUUGGGCAGUGCUGAUAUAUAUCUGUGGCAAGAACCUUUUCGACUGCUUUAUUUUUAAGAGAAUUUCAUAUAGAGCUAGGUUUCAACAUUUUUAGCCAUAUAAGUUGGUUCAGGAUCAUAAUAUAUGAACAAGGGAUAUGAUAGAAGCCUUUUUGUCACUUGAAGAUUACCCAGCAGAAUGUUCUCUCGCUGUUGUCAAGGUAACCAAAUUCCACACGGAAGCCAAAUCCACAGUAUUCGUCACCAAACGCUAUUCAGACUGGCUGCCUUCCAACUGACAGCACUGUGUCCUCUGCAGCUUCUAGUACAUUCACAAAAUGUCUUGUUUAGGUUUACAUUUAGGAUUUUCCGACUGUCAACUGAUACUUUAUGUACUGCACUCCUAAACUGUUAAAUAAAACAAAUACUUAAAAAUCCAAA